rnacentral:rRNA from 1 species
GAUGAACGCCGGCGGUGUGCCUAAUACAUGCAAGUCGUACGCACUGGCCCAACUGAUUGAUGGUGCUUGCACCUGAUUGAUGAUGGAUCACCAGUGAGUGGCGGACGGGUGAGUAACACGUAGGUAACCUGCCCCGGAGCGGGGGAUAACAUUUGGAAACAGAUGCUAAUACCGCAUAACGUAUUUUUACCGCAUGAUAGAAAUACCAAAACUGAGGUGCCGAAGGAUGGGCUCGCGUUGGAUUAGAUAGUUGGUGGGGUAACGGCCUACCAAGUCGACGAUCCAUAGCCGGACUGAGAGGUUGAACGGCCACAUUGGGACUGAGACACGGCCCAG